rnacentral:rRNA from 1 species
UAACGGCGAGUGAAGCGGCAACAGCUCAAAUUUGAAAUCUGGCCUCGGCCCGAGUUGUAAUUUGUAGAGGAAGCUUCUGGUGCGGUCUGUUCCGAGUCCCCUGGAACGGGGCGCCAUAGAGGGUGAGAGCCCCGUACGGACGGAUACCAAUCCUGUGUGAAGCUCCUUCGACGAGUCGAGUAGUUUGGGAAUGCUGCUCAAAAUGGGAGGUAAAUUCCUUCUAAAGCUAAAUACCGGCCAGAGACCGAUAGCGCACAAGUAGAGUGAUCGAAAGAUGAAAAGCACUUUGAAAAGAGGGUUAAACAGCACGUGAAAUUGUUGAAAGGGAAGCGCUUAUGACCAGACUUGCGCCAGGCUGAUCAUCCGGUGUUCUCACCGGUGCACUCUGCCUGGCUCAGGCCAGCAUCGGUUUCCGCGGGGGGAUAAAGGUCCCGGGAAUGUAGCUCCUCCGGGAGUGUUAUAGCCCGGGGCGCAAUGCCCUCGUGGGGACCGAGGUUCGCGCAUCUGCAAGGAUGCUGGCGUAAUGGUCAUCAGCGA